rnacentral:rRNA from 1 species
UACGUAGGUGGCAAGCGUUGUCCGGAUUUACUGGGCGUAAAGAGCGCGCAGGCGGUCGUUCAAGUCGAGUGUGAAAGCCCCCGGCUCAACUGGGGAGGGUCAUUCGAUACUGAUCGACUCGAAGGCAGGAGAGGGUAGUGGAAUUCCCCGGUGUAGUGGUGAAAUGCGUAGAUAUCGGGAGGAACACCAGUGGCGAAGGCGACUACCUGGCCUGUUCUUGACGCUGAGGAGCGAAAGCCAGGGGAGCAAACGGG